rnacentral:lncRNA from 1 species
GAAAAAACGAUGGUGGAGCUAGGAUUUAUACUUGGUGUGACUCUUAAAGUCGGUUUUCCAGCACUUUGGGAGGCUGAGGCGUGUGGAUCACCUGAGGUCAGGAGUUCGAGACUAGCCUGGCCAACGUGGUAAAACCCAGUCUCUACUAAAGAUACAAAAAUUAGUGGGGCAUUGUAGUGCAUGCCUAUAAUCCCACCUACUCAGGAAGCUGAGACAGAAUUGCUUGAACCCGGGAGGUGGAGGCUGCAGUGAGCCUAGAUCUCUCCACUGCACUCCAGCCUGGGCAACAGAGUGAGACUCCAUCUCAAAAAAAAAAUAUUUUGUACUAGCACAUUGAUUAAUUGUGUUAAUCAGAAUUGAUUGAAUCUGUUAUCUGGACAUUGUACGUAGAUUGCGUUGAAUGUUGUAUUGGCUGUCUACGUUAGAUGCAGGUUACAGUGUAGGUUUUCCAGAGUUUUUGGGCUGGGCACACACACUCUUAAGUUGGCAGCUUUCUUUUUAACAGUGGUGGUGAGCUUCUUUAAAUAACGACUUCCUAAAUUUGUGAAAGAGUGUGUGUACUGGGAGGGAGAGAAGUGCUGUUACAAAACCCCAAGGCUUCUUGUCUGUGGGUUGAGCACAGCCCGCUACGGUUUUGGAAAGAUGGAUUUCCUGGAAGACAACUUUGCUACUGAGCAUCAUCUAGUAAAUAAAGUCCUAAGACACAGAAGUCUAUAACAAAUAUUGGAAAUUAUUGUUAAUCCAAACAAUCUCAGAUAUAUUUGACAUCCAUAUGUUUUAAUUGUAUAGCCCAGUUAUGUCAAGCAGAGUCAUGUACUGCAUAAAGAUGUUUUGGUCAAUGAUCAACUGCAUAUAUGAUGGUGGUACUGUGAGAUCAUUAUGGAGCUGAAAAAUCCCUAUUGCCUAAUGACAUCAUAGCUGUCAUAACUUCAUAGCACAACAUGUCACUCAUAUCACUCAUAUGUUUGUUACAACAUGUUACAAACAUAUGAGUAACGUGUUGUGCUAUGAUAUUAUGCAGGUAUAAACAAACCUACACAGACUGCAUUGCCAGUCAUAAAGAAGUAUAGCCCAUACAAUUAUGUACAGUACAUAAUAUUUGAUAAUGAUAAUAAAUGACUAUGUUACUGGCAUAUGUAUUUAUUAUGCUGUAUUUUUAAAUCAUUAUUUUAGAGUAUACUGCUUCUGCUUAUAAAGAAAAAGUUAACUGUAAAACAGCCUCAGAUGGGUCCUUUAGCAGGUAUUCUAGAAGAAGAGAUUAUCAUAGAAGAUGACUGCUCUGUGUGUGUUAUUGCCCCUGAAUACCUCCCAGUGGGUAGAGAUAAGGAGGUGAAAGACAGUGACUUUGAUGAUCCUGACACUGUGUAGGUCUAGGCUGAUGUAUGUGAUUGUGUCUUAGAUUUUAACAAAAAAGUUUAAAAACUAAAAGAAAUAAUUUUGAAAAUGGAAAAAACUUAUAGAUUAUAAGGAUACAAGGAUAUAAAUAAAAUAAUUUGUAGAGCUGUGUAAUAUGUUUGUGUUCAAGCUCAGUGUUAUCAUGAACAGGUUGAAAAGUAAGAAAAAUUUAAAAAGUUGAUAAAGUAAAAAAGUUACACUAAGCUAAGAUUACUUUAUUAUUGAAAAAAAUUUUUAUAUAAAUUUAGGGUAUCCU